rnacentral:rRNA from 1 species
UUUGAUCUCAAAUCAGGCAGGACUACCCG